rnacentral:rRNA from 1 species
CGCGUAGGCGGUUACGCAAGUCGGAUGUGAAAAGUCAUGGCUCAACUGUGAUCGUGCAUCCGAAACUGCGUUGACUUGAGGUCGGUAGAGGCAAGUGGAACUAGCGGUGUAGCGGUGAAAUGCGCAGAUAUCGCUAGGAACGCCGGUGGCGAAGGCGACUUGCCGGGCCGUACCUGACGCUGAUGCGCGAAAGCUAGGGGAGCGAACC